rnacentral:rRNA from 1 species
GUCCCUAUCUACUAUCUAGCGAAACCACAGCCAAGGGAACGGGCUUGGAAUCAUUAGCGGGGAAAGAAGACCCUGUUGAGCUUGACUCUAGUUUGGCACUGUAAGAAGACAUAAGAGGUGUAGCAUAAGUGGGAGAUAUCUUGUACUUGUGCAGUUUAUCAACAAUGAAAUACCACUACUUUUAUCGUUUUCUUACUUACUUGAUUAAAUGGAGAAUGCACUUUCAUUCAUUCCAUAUUUGCAUUGUGACUCUGUCAUCUUUGCUCAUAUGGCAAUGUUGAUCUUGUGCACUUUUCUUGAUCCAAGUGUCAUGAACCGUCGGUACGUUUGUACGAUUGAGGUGUUGCUGCAAAGUUUCGCUGAGAUCGGAGUAUUGACAUUUAUGGUUAAGACACGAUCCAAGUCAGGGACACUGCCAGGUGGGGAGUUUGACUGGGGCGGUACAUCUCUGAAAUAAUA